rnacentral:misc_RNA from 1 species
GAAAUGCGAUAAGUAAUGUGAAUUGCAGAAUUCAGUGAAUCAUCGAAUCUUUGAACGCACAUUGCGCCCGCCAGUAUUCUGGCGGGCAUGCCUGUCCGAGCGUCAUUUCGACCAUCAAGCCCCCGGCUUGUGUUGGGGACCUGCGGCUGCCCGCAGGCCCUGAAAUGCAGUGGCGGGCUCGCUGGCACACCGAGCGUAGUAGCACAAUCCUCGCUCAGGGCGUGCCGCGGGUCCCGGCCGUAAAACAGCCUCCUAGCACUAGGUUGACCUCGGAUCAGGUAGGAAUACCCGCUGAACUUAA